rnacentral:rRNA from 1 species
UACAGGGGGGGCAAGCGUUGUUCGGAAUUACUGGGCGUAAAGGGCUCGUAGGUGGCCAACUAAGUCAGACGUGAAAUCCCUCAGCUUAACUGGGGAACUGCGUCUGAUACUGGAUGGCUUGAGUUUGGGAGAGGGAUGCGGAAUUCCAGGUGUAGCGGUGAAAUGCGUAGAUAUCGGGAGGAACACCAGUGGCGAAGGCGACUACCUGGCCUGUUCUUGACGCUGAGGCGCGAAAGCUAGGGGAGCAAACGGG